rnacentral:lncRNA from 1 species
AACAACUUCCCUGUGUUCUUCAUCCGUGAUGGGAUGAAGUUCCCCGACAUGGUCCAUGCUCUCAAACCAAACCCAAAGUCUCACAUUCAGGAGAAUUGGAGGAUUCUUGACUUUUUCUCUCACCACCCAGAGAGCUUGCACAUGUUUUCUUUCCUCUUUGAUGAUGUUGGUGUUCCCCUGAACUACAGGCACAUGGAUGGUUCUGGUGUGCACACCUUUACUCUUCUCAACAGGGAAGGAAAAGCUACAUAUGUUAAGUUCCACUGGAGGCCAACAAGUGGUGUGAAGUGUUUGUUGGAGGACGAG